GAUGAAGAACGCAGCGAAAUGCGAUAAGUAGUGUGAAUUGCAGAAUUCAGUGAAUCAUCGAAUCUUUGAACGCACAUUGCGCCCCUUGGUAUUCCAUGGGGCAUGCCUGUUCGAGCGUCAUUUGUACCUUCAAGCUCUGCUUGGUGUUGGGCGUUUGUCUCGCCUCUGCGUGUAGACUCGCCUUAAAACAAUUGGCAGCCGGCGUAUUGAUUUCGGAGCGCAGUACAUCUCGCGCUUUGCACUCAUAACGACGACGUCCAAAAGUACAUUUUUACACUCUUGACCUCGGAUCAGGUAGGGAUACCCGCUGAACUUAAGCAUAUCAAUAAGCGGAGGA
rnacentral:misc_RNA from 1 species